ACUGCUUUUCUAGACUUCCUAGCAUGGGCUGUUGUGCUGGAGAGAACGAGAGCUACGAAGAGACUACAGUGCCUCUGACUUUUUCAUAGGACAGUUGGCCGAGGAAGACAAACAUAAAGAUGAAGUGCUUAAUUCAAGGUCACACAAUGUCGGGGAUGGACCUCCAGAUUUCCUUACUGACCUGCAUUAUCUUGUGGAUACCUGAGUGAAUUCCACACCACCCAUUUUAUAGAUGAAACCACUGAGACAUGGAGCAAUUGACUGAGUAGUCACUGCCCCACCCCUGCCUGGAGCCUCACACAUGACUCGCCUCCUCUCAGUGACCACAGGUUGGUUGAGGGGUUUAACAAGGCUAAGAAGGUGAGACGUGGUCUUGUAACACAGUGGUUAAGAAUGUGACUUUGGAGCCAGCCUGCUAGGGGCUGAAUUCUGACUCAGCCAUUUACUAACUGUGUGACCUUAGGCUGGAGUGCAAUGGCAUGAUCUCGGCUCAUCACAACCUCUGCUUCCUGGGUUCAAGCGAUUCUCCUGCCUCAGCCUCCCGAGUACCUGGGACUACAGGCACUCGCCACCAUG
rnacentral:lncRNA from 1 species